rnacentral:lncRNA from 1 species
UUCACAUCACAUCCCUUUCUCUCGGGCUGCUGCUUUUGACUCUGUGCGGUCGAUCCUCGGGAGAAUCAGUCAGUCCUUCUCCACCGAUGACCUCCAGAGCCCUUUUUAUAUGAGCUCUGUCUGUGCCUUUGUGGCGAACGAGGUUCAGAGCCGCUUCCAGCCCCCUGCAGCCACCCUACCAGUCCCCCCUGUCCUCCCGGUGGCCGUCUCCACCACACGACCAGCUGACAUCCAAGCAGACCCAGCAUCUUCCCACCUGGAAGUUGUGGACAUCACCCCCAAAACAGAGGCAGACCCGGCUUGUUCCCACCUGGAGGUUGUGGACAUCACCCCAAAAACAGAGGCAGACCCGGCUUGUUCCCACCUGGAGGUUGUGAACAUCACCCCUAACACAGAGGCAGACCCGGCUUGUUCCCACCUGGAGGUUGUGAACAUCACCCCUAACACAGAGGCAGACCCGGGUUGUUCCCAACUAGAUAUUGUGGACAUCACCCCAAAAACAGAGGCAGACCCGGGUUGUUCCCACCUGGAGGUUGUGGAUAUCACCCCUAAAACAGAGGCAGACCCGGCAUCUUCCCACCUGGAGGUUCAAGACAUUACCCCAAAAACAGAGGCAGGCCCGGGUUCUUCCCACCUGAAUAAUGUGGACAUAACCAUUAAUACAGAGGCAGAUCCGGCUUCUUCCCACCUGAAUGUUGUGGACGUAACCCCUAACACAGAGGCAGAGCCGGCUUCUUUCCACCUGAAUAAUGUGGACAUCACCCCUAAUACAGAGGCAGAGCCCAUCUCUUCCCUCUUGGAGGUUGUGGACGUCACACCUGAAGAAAGGACUCUCACGAUGGCCGUCUUCACCACUCUGCCAGCUGACAUCCAAGCAGAGGAUGUUGCUGUGGUCAUCCCGGAUGUCACCCCACACGUCACCAAGGACGUGACACUGGAUGUUCCAUGUAGAGCUAGGAAAGGGGCAGUCCGGCGAUUAUUUUGCAGGCUUUGGAAGGCAGUGUGCUGCUGCGCCUGCUACAAGGAAGAGGAGGAACAAUAUUAAUUAUUCAUCAGACAUUCAGAAAUGGGAUUGAACCAUAGACCAUUAAAU